AACGAACGCUGGCGGCAGGCUUAACACAUGCAAGUCGAGCGCCCCGCAAGGGGAGCGGCAGACGGGUGAGUAACGCGUGGGAAUCUACCCAGCUCUACGGAAUAACCAGGGAAACUUGGACUAAUACCGUAUACGUCCGAGAGGAGAAAGAUUUAUCGGAGUUGGAUGAGCCCGCGUUGGAUUAGGUAGUUGGUGGGGUAAUGGCCUACCAAGCCGACGAUCUAUAGCUGGUCUGAGAGGAUGAUCAGCCACACUGGGACUGAGACACGGCCCAGACUCCUACGGGAGGCAGCAGUGGGGAAUAUUGGACAAUGGGCGAAAGCCUGAUCCAGCCAUGCCGCGUGAGUGAUGAAGGCCCUAGGGUUGUAAAGCUCUUUCACCGGUGAAGAUAAUGACGGUAACCGGAGAAGAAGCCCCGGCUAACUUCGUGCCAGCCGCCGCGGUAAGAC
rnacentral:rRNA from 1 species